GAUGAAGAACGUAGCGAAAUGCGAUAAGUAAUGUGAAUUGCAGAAUUCAGUGAAUCAUCGAAUCUUUGAACGCACCUUGCACCCUUUGGCAUUCCGAAGGGUAUGCUCGUUUGAGUGUCAUUGUACUCUCACACUUCCAAUCUUUGGAUUGGGAGCAGUGGACUUGGGUGUUGCUGCUUACUGUGGCUCACCUCAAAUCGAUUCGUGCACCUCUUGGUUGGACAUAGUACGGCGUGAUAAGUGUCUUCGCCGGCACCUCAGUAGAGGGUGGCUGAUCAGGAGCUCUGUGCUUCAGACCGUCCUCGGACAACAACUGACAACUUGACCUCAAAUCGAGUAGGACUACCCGCUGAACUUAAGCAUAUCAAUAAGCGGAGGA
rnacentral:misc_RNA from 1 species